AGAGACAUGAAAGGGCUACACAGAGAAGUCAGGUUUUCUCAGAGUUAACUUUCUCUAACCUUGAAGCCGAAUCCAGGGGCAGGAGCAGGAGUCAACUCUGAGAAGACGUGAUAGAGCUUCAGCAACAUGGAGAGGAGAUAGCCGGUCUGGCUAGGAUGGAAGAAAUGUACAUGGAGAAGAAAGACAGAAGAACCAUCACUGAGCACUAAACUAAUCAGCCAUAAUGUGCAGAUUGACUGGCAAGCCUAUCACCACCUUGAUAACAGAUGACAUUAAAGAGAAAGGUACACAAAUAUCCAAGAUUGGAAAGAAGAAAGAAAAUGACGACAGAAUUUUGCAGUCUACAAGGCAAACACUGCCAUUCAUGUAGUUAUGGAGUUCCUACUAUGUGCAGACAAUGGGAAACUUUACGAAGUGGAUGGAGCAGCAUCAGCCAUGGCUCAGGAAUGCAGCCGCCUACUUUCCUGUUAUCAGCAGGCAUUCCUGUGGUUACACUAUUCCUGCUUAGCUUAUCA
rnacentral:lncRNA from 10 species